rnacentral:rRNA from 1 species
UACGUAGGGCGCAAGCGUUGUCCGGAAUUAUUGGGCGUAAAGAGCUCGUAGGCGGUCUGUCGCGUCUGCCGUGAAAACCCGAGGCUUAACCUCGGGCUGGCGGUGGAUACGGGCAGACUGGAGGUAUGCAGGGGAGAACGGAAUUCCUGGUGUAGCGGUGAAAUGCGCAGAUAUCAGGAGGAACACCGGUGGCGAAGGCGGUUCUCUGGGCAUGUCCUGACGCUGAGGAGCGAAAGUGUGGGGAGCGAACAGG